rnacentral:rRNA from 1 species
UCCAGACUCCUACGGGAGGCAGCAGUGGGGGAUAUUGCACAAUGGGGGGAACCCUGAUGCAGCGACGCCGCGUGGGUGAAGGAGUGCUUCGGCAUGUAAAGCCCUAUCGGCAGGGAAGAAGCAAGACGGUACCUGACUAAGAAGCCCCGGCUAACUACGUGCCAGCAGCCGCGGUAAUACGUAGGGGGCAAGCGUUAUCCGGAUUUACUGGGUGUAAAGGGAGCGUAGACGGUCCUGCAAGCCAGAUGUGAAAGCCCGGGGCUCAACCCCGGGACUGCAUUUGGAACUGUAAGGCUAGAGUGUCGGAGAGGCAGGCGGAAUUCCUAGUGUAGCGGUGAAAUGCGUAGAUAUCAGGAGGAACACCGGCGGCGAAGGCGGCCUGCUGGACCGCGACUGACGUUGAGGCUCGAAAGCGUGGGGAGCGAACAGGAUUAGAUACCCCAGUAC